rnacentral:other from 1 species
AUUCCCCUGCGGGGUUAGUGAUCGAUCGGUUAUUUAGAACCAACAUUAUUUGUCAGGGAGCCUCCUCUGACACGCGGACGGCAUGUCCCCUUGCGGGAAUCCGGAAGCUGUUACCAAGGCGCCCACCUGUCUUAGACAGGUUCAAAUAUCAAUCGACACGGCCGAGCGGGGGUAUG